AUCACAAUCUUUUCCCAAUUUCUUUACUUCUUCAGAGCCCCACCGCACAAUCUCUCUCUCUCUGAUUUACUUCUUCAGGUUUGAUCUAUCCGAAUUUGCGCGAUUGGAAAUGGGGCAAUGGAAGGUGCUGACUUGGUUUAAGAAGGAGAUGGUUUUACCUUGAAUCCGAUUUUCCUUUCAGGUGAAGACAGAUCUAUUUGAAAAUGAGAUGGUUUUACCUUGAAUAACUCGGUGCCGAGAUCAGAGCUCGUCCUUCAUCGAUUCUAGAUCUCCAGGUUUUGUGCUUUUUGUCUUCAAUUUUCUGUAGUAGUAAUGUGAUCCGUGCUAUUUUCCUUAACGGUGCCUAAUAUGAGCUUGACGUCUCUAUCUUUGGGUUAUGGUUAGCUUCUUUCCCAUCCUUAAGGUUAACCCAGUUUGGUAAAGUGAUCUCUUUAAUGGGCGUUGCAUCCUGAAAAUGAGCCUUACUUCCAUUCCCUUCUUGACGAAAUUGUAGCUUUUCUUUCUAGUAACAAUUAGUCUUGGCUUUUAUGCUGAUAUUGAGCGACUUAUUGAACUAUUAGAUUAGAAAUGACAUUGUGUUGAUUCAGUUUGUUAUCCUUCCUUUCUUAUUUAAUUUUUGUAACAUGAUUUCAGGUGGUAGAGCUAUUAGAAACACAUUUGAGUUUGGAAGAACCUAUGUAAUCCGACCUAAAGGUAAACACCAGGCCUUCGUAGUUUGGCUACAUGGCCUUGUUGAUAAUGGCUCAAGGUGGUUCUUGUCCCCAUUGCUUCUAUAAACUAUUUCUGAGAAAGUCGACAACAUUGAAUUCACAUUCAAUUACUAUUAUUUUUUUUUUUUUUUUUUUUUUCAGUUCAUACUAGAUUCAUCUAUUUUUGUACCUUUUUUUUAUGCAAUUCAUAGUUGUAUUUUAAUUCUAAGCUCUGCUAUUUUUUUUUUUUGAAGACUCUCAGCUCUUGGAAAUACAAAUGUGAGUUUGAAUACUUCUACUCUGGCUAUUAGAAGUAGAAUAUUCUCAUUGUCAGCCAUACUUAUAAUAUUGUGGUUCAUUGUCGCCACUCAUAAGAAAAUAUUCAUUGAAGAGAAUUUUUGUUCUCAUAGUCAGCCAUACUUAAUAUUUGUGAUUCAUUACCGUAGACAACCCCCAACACAAAAAGAAAAUUUCUAAUCAAGUGAAGUCAUCACAGCUUCACUAGUUUCCUGGAUUGCUUAUCUGAUAUAACACAGUGUUUGACGUUGGAGAACUAUGGAAGAUGUACUUGAUGUAGUGGAGGGAUUGGAUGCUUCAGCAACACAUGCAUGUAGAACUUUUGUUGUCAACAGAGUUUGACGACAGUAGGUAUCCUCUUGCUAAAAUUUAGAAUAUUGUUGUAUUAGAUAUCAUUUCUAGCCUGUUUGAGUUUUUAUGUUGUGAACAUAUAGAAA